UCUGGUAUAGUGGUUAGUGACACUGUCUGCUGAACCGUAGGGCCUGGGUUCGAAUCCCGGAGAA